UCUCAAAAAUAUAAAUUAUCUAAUUUUAGAUGUUAAAAAUUAAAUGAAUAUAUCAAAUUAUAAUUUCUAAAUUACACACACACAUAUAGAUUCAUGAAGUAAUAUUUUAUAUAAGACAUUUAAAAGCUUAUGAGAAACUAGCUCCUAAUUUGAUGAAAUAGAUAUAUUUAGGAGAGAUUUUAGAAAAUGACUAACUUAUUUUGAGACAUGUUACUAUUUUUUGGUUGAAUGGAGAAUUACUUUUGAUGUUCACUAAGUUUAUUUCUGAAUGUACUAAAACUAAUUGGAAAUCUUUUGGAAAAUCUAGCUCUUAAUUUAUUUAUUUCAUUAGAUGACUAUCAUGCUCUCCACCAGAAAUCACAAGUGCAAUCAUUGUAUAUUCAUAGUAAACUCUCCCCAUAAGCAAGGCAUUUCAUUGUGAUAUUAUAAAACAAGUCAUAAAAUAAUUAAUUAAUUAAUUAAAUCUAAAAUUUAAAUAACUAAAAUCUAAAUUUUAAUGUCCCACAAAAUCUAAUGAUAUUUAGAAUAUCUUACGUUAGAUUUCAGUAAAGUUUUAAUUUAAAAUAAAGAGAUCAAAGUUCUAC
rnacentral:lncRNA from 1 species